rnacentral:rRNA from 1 species
UACGAAGGGAGCUAGCGUUGUUCGGAAUUACUGGGCGUAAAGGGCGCGUAGGCGGCUUGAUAAGUUUGAUGUGAAAGCCCUGGGCUUAACCUAGGAAUAGCAUUGAAUACUGUCAGGCUAGAGGCCGAGAGAGGGAAAUGGAAUUGCGAGUGUAGAGGUGAAAUUCGUAGAUAUUCGCAAGAACACCAGUGGCGAAGGCGAUUUCCUGGCUCGGUACUGACGCUAAGGCGCGAAAGCGUGGGGAGCGAACAGG